rnacentral:lncRNA from 1 species
UAAUUGUUAUUUUAAGGAAAUAAAAAUGGGUCAGGAACAAAGGAGUGGCUUAAAACUAGUGGGAGUGUAUUUGCAAUUGGGAGAAGAAACCACAGAACAAAAUGCUCAGGAGAAUACCCCUAAAUUAUUUAAGAACAAAAUAAAGUACUUGAAGCAGCAUGAGAUGAGACCAGAGAGGUUUGCUGGUCUGUGCAUGCAAAUACAGAAGGACUCGUUGAACCACCUACCCAUCAGGAAACUGUACGAGUAGCAAAGAACAUGGCUUUAAUUUUCAUGUCUGGAUUUCUAGAUAUGUAAGAGAAGGCAGUAGGUUUCUUAGACUUCUACUGAAUUUGUUUUAUUUUAUUUUGGGGGUGGCACAAGGGCAGAAAACAAGAAUAAACUUGUAUUACAUACAUCUUAUUUUGACA